UUUUUUCUGGAAUAGCCCUUAUGAAUUUUCAUUGGAUACUUAGAAUGAAUUGUAAUUUUGGAUUAUACUGGAUGGAGCAGGUUGGAAUAUUUUAACAGACCAUCAACUCAAAAUAUGCAUAUAUAUUACUCAUAUUAAUUCUAUAUUUGCUUAAUUCAUUGAUAAGCCUGGAUAAAAGAACAGGGAGGUUACAGAUAAAAAAAAUACAAAUACCAGAGUUCUCAACAACAAAAAAUAUGUGGUCCUUGAAUAAAACCUGCUGGUUCUCGCUAUUAUUUCUUGUGCAAAGUCCAAAAUUGUUUCUGUCCUUUGCAUAUAUUUUUUGGUGACCAAACCUUUGGACCAUCAUUUUUUCAAGAACUCAUACAAAUCCAUGCAAUUUAUCUUGUUAUAAUACAGAACAUACCUCAUUAAAUGUCUUUCAAACUUCUCACUUAGUACUUGCUUACUUGUAAAAUUCCUGUAAGCUAGCAUGCACGCAGGACCUGUACUUGAAUCAGAUUGAACUAAAUCCUGUAUGCUUAUAGACAUAUAGUUAAGUUUUCAUCAUUAGACGGGUGUAAAAUGUGGUAGCAAUCUUACCACAUCUUCUAUAUUUAUAUUGGCUGUUUUAAUAACACAAUUGUAAUGUGGAGCUAUUAGCUAUUAAUUACACAAUUAUAAUGUGGAGCUAUUAGCUUUUAAUUACACAAUUGUAAUUUUGAGCCUGUAAUUAGUAGGAAUAACACCAUAGCUAGUCGGACAUAUCCUAAUAAAUAACAAAAUAGUAUUUUUUAAUUUAUAAACAUUGUUAAGUAGAUGUAGAUUUAUAUAUAAUUUUUAUUAUAUAAUAAUUAGUUUAUUUCUGCCUCUCCUGCCCCCUCUUUUUUUUUUUUUAAAGAAACUCCCAUUAUUUCAUUAGUGAUUUUGAAACUGCACCUCGAAAAUCCUUAAGCUUAAGAGGGUUUGGAUGGGGUUAAAUGAUUAAAGAAUAAUGCCCUUAAAAAUGAAGAUUAGAGAAUAACAGGCAAAAAAAAGAAGAUUAGAGAUUUGCAUGGUCUAAUUUUUUGAAGAUUAGAGAAAAAAGGGGUGAAAAUUAAAUGUUUACAGAAUAACAGACCCCCCCCCCCUUUUCCAGAC
rnacentral:lncRNA from 1 species